GGGGGCGGGCUGCCGGCCGAGACUUCUGGAUGGCGGCGGCCGCGGCUCCGCCCCGGGUUCCCACCGCCUGAAGGGCGAGACAAGCCCGACCUGCUACAGGCACUCGUGGGGGUGGGGGAGGAGCGGGGGUCGGUCCGGCUGGUUUGUGGGUGGGAGGCGCUUGUUCUCCAAAAACCGGCGCGAGCUGCAAUCCUGAGGGAGCUGCGGUGGAGGAGGUGGAGAGAAGGCCGCACCCUUCUGGGCAGGGGGAGGGGAGUGCCGCAAUACCUUUAUGGGAGUUCUCUGCUGCCUCCCGUCUUGUAAGGACCGCCCUGGGCCUGGAAGAAGCCCUCCCUCCUUUCCUCCUCGCGUGAUCUCGUCAUCGCCUCCAUGUCGAGUCGCUUCUCGAUUAUGGGCGGGAUUCUUUUGCCUAGGCUUAAGGGGCUAACUUGGUCCCUGGGCGUUGCCCUGCAGGGGAGUGAGCAGCUGUAAGAUUUGAGGGGCGACUCCGAUUAGUUUAUCUUCCCACGGACUAGAGUUGGUGUCGAGGUUAUUGUAAUAAGGGUGGGGUAGGGAAAUGGAGCUUAGUCAUUCACCUGGGGCUGAUUUUAUGCAACGAGACUGCGGAUUAUCACUACUUAUCAUUUUUGGAGCAUUUUUCUAGAGACAGACAUAAAGCAUGAUCACCUGAGUUUUAUACCAUUUGAGACCCUUGCUGCACCACCAAAGUGUAGCAUCAGGUUAAAUCUUAAUAGAAAAAUUUUAGCUUUUGCUUGAGAAACCAGUGCUUCCCUCCCUCACCCUCUCUCCCCAGGCUCUCUACCCCUUUGCAUCCCUACCAGGCAUCUUAGCAACUCUCACUCAUACUUGAUCCCAUUUUCCAUUUGUUGUACUUGCUCCUCUAGUAUUCAGACAUAGCACUAGCUUUCUCCCUCUCUUGAUCUUGGGUAGCCUGGUGUCUCGCGAAACCAGACAGAUUGGUUCCACCACAAAUUAAGGCUUGAGCUGGGGCUUGACUCUUACCCAGCAGUGCUUUUAUUCCUCCCUAGUUCACGUUCUUAAAUGUUUAUCUUGAUUUUCAUUUUAUCCUUUUUCCUUAGCUGGGAUUCUGUCCCUGACCGUCUUCACAGUCCAGGUGAUCUUGACUACUGCUUUACAGAGAAUUGGAUCUGAGGUGUGGAAACAGGAAGAGAACUAGAACUGGAAGUAAAGCAUUGAAGAUGUGACUGAAUUGCUGCAAUCUCAUGAUCAAAUUUGAAUGGAUGAGGAGUUGCUUUUUAGGGAUGAGCAAAGAAAGUGGUUUCUCGAGAUGGAAUCUACUGGUGAAGUUGCUGUGAACAUUGUUAAAAUGCCAAUAAAGGAUUUAGGAAUUACAGAAACCUGGUUGAUAAAGCAGUGCCAGGGUGUGAGAGAGUUGACUUCAAUUUUGAAAUAAGUUCCACUGGCUGGGUGUGGUGGCUCACACCUGCAAUCCCAGUACUUUAGGAGGCCGAGACUGGUAGAUCAUUUGAGGUCAGGAGUUCAAGACCAGCCUUGCCAACAUGGUGAAACCCCACCUCUACCAAAUUAGCCAGGUGUGGUGCACACCUGUAGUCCCAGCUACUUGGGAAGCUGAGGCAGGAGAAUCUCUUGAACCAGGGAGGAGGAGGUUGCAGUAAGCCGAGAUGGCGCCCCUGCACUCCAGCCUGGGUGACAGAGUGAGACCUUGCGUUUAAAAAAAAAAAAAAAGGAAAAGGAAAAAAAAGUUCUACUGUGGGUAAAAUGCUAUCAUGCUAUCAAACAGCAUCACAUGCUACAGAGAAGUCUUGUGAAAGGAUGUCAGUGUGGCAAACUUCAUUGUCUUUUAAGAAAUUGCCACAGCUAUCGUAAUCUUCAACCACCACCACCCUGAUGAGUCAGUAGCCAUCGUUAACGUUGGCGUAAGACCCUCCACCAGCAAAAAGAUUGUUAGCAUUUUUUUAGCAGUGAUGUAUUUAUCAAUUAUACAUAAUGCUAUUGUACACUUCUUAAUAGACUAUGGUAUAGUGUAACCAUAAUUUAUGCACUGGGAAACCAACAAAUUCAUGAGAUUCGCUUUAUUGUAGUGCUCUGGAAUUGAGCCUGCCGUGUUUCUGAGGUAUACCUGUGUAUUUAGUAUGUUCCUUGUAUAUAAAACCCCAUUUUAUAGGGUAGGAAACUAAGGCUUAGAGUUUGAGCAAUUUUCCCAUAGAUAACACCAAUAAAUUGAGGGCUGCAGAGACCACUUAAGUGGUUCUCUUAACAGUAGUCUAGACAUGACGUAAUGAGAUUUGGCUUAGGAGUGACAAUGGUAAGGAAGUUAAAGGAUUCAGGAACCAAAUACCAGUUAUUGAGAAGAAAGAAUGGCCUCAAAACAUCACUUCUCAAGGAAGCCUUGAUACCCUCACCCUUACUACACUGUAUCCUCCAUUUGAAUGUUGUCAAGAGCUCUUCUCACAAUUGUAAAUAAUAAUUGUGUAAUUUUGUUUUUUUUUUCCUACUUUAGGUUGCUCCUUGAGGGCAGGACAGUUCUUAUGGCUUUAUCCGUUGCGUAAGCACAGAGAGGUCUGCGAGGUCAAAACUAUUGUCAUGAUAGCAAGAUGCCUGUCUUUUUCAUUUAUUCUCACGGUGUGCAGAGGCUACAUGAUGUGUGAUGACAUCCUCAUUGAUGUUAAUGAAUGGUGCUAUACUUGAAUUUUCUAAGGUGUCAUUAGGUAGGUUUAGGUAUGCAUACUUGUUUUUAGAAAUUAUUUUUUUCCUUUUUCCCAUUUUUAGAAAUCAACUCAUUUUUUAGGUUAUGCCUUCAGUAAUCUUUGCAACCUCAAUAUUGUGUAAUGGUUACUUUAAAAUACUGUAGUUUUCUUUGUGCCUAAGUAUAAACAUAAGUACAUUUUGUUGUUUUGUUUGCAAUAGUGGUUUAAAUAUUUUCCCAAAAUAUCCAAAUUUAAAAAUUCUACAACUUUAGAAUUUAAUAAAUUUAUUCUAAAAUAUUUAUAUAUUUUUUCAUUUAAGAAUGGAUCGGCUUAAAAAGACUGCUUCUCAUUUACUUACUGGCUAUACCAUCUGUAUACUAAUAAAAAACAAGAUUUGAUUUGGAAGGACUGACUCAAACUAACGAAAAUAUGAAACCUGUCUUUCUGCUUUGGAGAUAUUUACCUAAUCAUGUUCUGCAGUAGAAUAAUUUAGUUCUUUUGUCUUUUUUUGGAGAUGAGGUCUUGCUGUGUUGCCCAGGCUAUUCACAGCUGCCAUCAUAGUGAACUACAGCCUGAAACUCCUGGGUUCAAGAGAUCCUUCUGCCUCAGCCUCCUGAGUAGCUGGAACUAUAGGCAUGCGCCACCAAGCCUGGGCUUUUAAAAAAAUUUUAAAAAGAAUUUUGAGACAGGAUCUUGCCAUGUUGCUCAGGCUAGUCUUCAACUCCUAGCCCUGAGUGAUCUUGCUUUGGGCCUCUCAAAAUGUUGAGUUAAUAGGCGUGAGCCACCAUACCCAGCCAAAAAUUUUUUUAGAGAUGGGAAUGGAAUGAUCUUGAAUAGUGUUGGUGCCACCUAUGUUGUGGCAUCAUUUUGAAACCAAUCAUUCAGAGUGCUUUUUUUGGUAAGGCAUUAUUUUUUAAUGCAGGUAUGCCACUACUGGGAAAAAAAAAAAAACAGGUUUUAAAGCUAGAAAUGAAAAGCUACUUAAGUAUCUUAAAGGAUAAGUUACUUUAUUAUACACUAGAAACAUACACAAUAGCUGAAAAACUUAAAAAAUCUCACACUGCUGAAUGUCUCUGCUGGCUGAAGUGUAAGUAAAAGAUCAUAGUAGUGCCGCUGUUGAGUGAUAAAGCAACUUGUCAUUAAAGAUGUGUGUGCAGACAUGGAUUCUGAGUUAAUAUCUCAUCUGUAGAAGUAUAUAUUUGUCCCUUGCUUUGGGAUUGGUUUCUGGACAGCACUCCCCCACCCUUGCUGGCCAUUUGCCAAGGACACCAAAACCCAAGGAUGUUGAAUUCCCUUUUAUAAAAUGGCGCUGUAUCUGCAUACAACUUACACACAUCCUCCCAUAUACUUUAAAUCAUUUCCAGAUUUCUUAUACUUCAUACAAUGUGAAUGCUAUAUAAAUAGUUGUUACAUUGUGUACUUAUAUUUGUACUAUUGUAUUAAAUAUUCUCAAAUAUUUUCAAGCACAUUUGGUUGAAUCUGCAGAUGCAGAACCUGAGGAUAUGGAGGGCUGACUGUGCUAAUACGUUAUCAAUGGAUGCGUGCAUAAACAUGGCUGGACUUGUUACUUGGCUUGUAUUUGCCAGGCAUCAGCACCAACUAGUUAAAGAUACUCUUACGUGAAAGCUUGGCAACAAACACAUGUCCUGAAAUAAUGCAAGUGUAGAAUAACUUUUUAAAAUCUCAUGGUUUAUGCUAAACUAUAUGUUGACAUAAGAGUGGUGAUAAGGCAACAGUAGGUAAAAGUAAAAUUUCAGGCACCUUGGCACAAACUGUGGCAGUGGCAUCAAACUCUAAGUUAUUUUUCACUGCCAUGCAUUUGUGGUGUGAACCCCCACAAAAGAAAAAAACCAGUUUCACUCAAGAAUGUCCUUGUGAAAGCAGUGACAUUUUGUUAAAUCUUAAACCCUACAGUACAUAACUUUUUGAAAUGGUUGUCUCAAGAAAAAGCACUCAUGUAAGCUGAAUUAUCUGCUAUUUCCUUGGAGCCUAACAACUGACAGCAAUUGUUUUCAAUGAUAAAAUCCAAACGUUGAGUCAAAAUCAGAAUUUCGGGAAAACUUGUGUCUAAUAUCAGGAACUUGACAGCUUCCCAAUACUUCAUGAGAUAGUGAUAUUGAAAAUAAUUUUUUUUUUUUUUUGGGACAUCUGGCUGACUGCAACCUCUGUCUCCUGGGUUCAAGCAAUUCUCCUGCCUCAGCCUCCUGCAUAACUGGGACUACAGGUGUGUACCACUGUACCCGGCUAAUUUUUGUAUUUUUAGUAGAGAUGGGGUUUCACCAUGUUGGCCAGGGUGGUCUUGAACUCCUGACCUCAGGUGAUCCACCUUGGCCUCCCAAAGUGCUAGGAUUACAGGUUUAAGCCACUGUGCCCGGCCAAUGAUAUUUUAGGUAGUAUACAGUAAAAUGGGCCAACAUUUGGGAGAUUGACAUAACUCAGUGAAGCUAUAUUUUCCUAAUGACUAAUACGUGAGAUUAUAGAAAACUGCUAGUAACAUUGUAACCAAUUGAAUGCAAAAGAAACAAUUCAGUUGUCUUCUAUUUAAGUCAGACAUUUAGGGAAACAAUUGCCAAAAUGUAAAACAAUGCACCUAUUUUUUUAAAAAUAUGCAUUUGUUGCUAUAAUAUUUAAAUAUUUUACUUUCUAAUAUGGUAAGAUACUAGUAAAGUGAUUUGGGGCCCUCAAUCUUUAAGAAUGUGAAGGGAUUCUCUGAGGCCACAAAGUUUAAGAAAUGGCUACUCUAGCACAAACGCACAUAGUAAAUACUCAAGUACCUGUUGAAUGACUUCAUGGAGUUAAAGUGACUCCUGGUAUUAAAUCUGUAUGGCUGGGAUAAUGGGCAUGCUAGGACAGGAAGCAGAUUUCCUUAACUUCACCACUGUAACUCAUUAACAAACAUGUUAGCCUGAGACAGAAGUAUUAAGGGGCGACAGGAAAGCCUUUCAUAAGCAAUGUGAUGCUUUUUUUCACAUUAUUCAACAUGGUUUAAAAUUUGGUAUACAGGCCUAUGGUGUUUGUCCUGAACUUUUGCCAGAGUAGAAUGGUUCAUGUUUUUCCUCAUAGAUUUUCACUCCUCACUAAACUUCAUGACAUCUAACAUGAACUUAUUAGAAAAGGCUAUGCUUGAGAAUAAGGAUAUCUUUUUUCUAUGCCUAUGUUGUUAAUGAGUAUGAAGCACUUACAGGCUUUUAUGUACUUGAGGUUCCAAAGACAUUUCCAAAUUUUCCCAUUUUCAGUCUUCAACUUAACAUUUUGGUCCUUGCAGUGGAGACCUGAGUCCUAUCUGACAUUGGGACUACAGUUAGGGCAGAAUUUCCUAAACUGCCAUUUUUUAAAGAAAUAAGGGUAACCAAAUGUUCCCCUUAAAAGCACUCUGGUACCCUCUAGUAUUGGGAGAUAACUAUCUUCCCCUAAUUAGAUUUGUAAAAUCUUUCUCAAUAUUUAUUUACAUUUUUUUCCCCUCAAAUAUAUUGACUUUUUCAUUCCCAGUAACAAUAUGUCUGGUCUGUAACUAAGUCAUUCCAUGUUCAGAUUACAGAUUUAUUUCCCCAUCUUUUCACAUUCUUUUAGUCCAGGAGACCCACUUUGAAGGUUAAAACCAAGGUCACACAAUGAAUAGGUGGCAGUGUCACAUAUAACUCAGCUCCAGGCCUUAUGAAUCCUGCUUAUAGCCCACUGCCUAUUCUAGUCACCAGAUUGAAAAACACCAUACUAGGGAAGAAGACGGCAAACUAUUGCCCACUACAUAUUUGUAUCAGUCUUGUCAAAUUUUUAUUGUAGUAUGUAAUAGAAUUAAAGCUAUGAUGAAUCAAGUAAAAAAUGAUUUCCUUAAAAACUAAGCUAAUAGGCGAAAAUACUCGCUUGUUCAACAAAUACCCAGUCUGGCAGAUACAAUACCCUGCCCUUAGUGGGGGGUGGAGUGGGGGGUGGGGGGGUGGGGAAAGACAUCGUGGUGAAAACAGACAUGGUCCUUGAACUUCCUGGUUCUGUGGGUUGCUUAAUUUGAGGUUUAAAUGGUUUCUCCCAUCAGGUGAAAAGUUUUGUGUUCGGCCCAUAAACAAAGCAGCUGUGAAUUCUGAUAGUGGUAAAAAGGCCAGUCUAGGAUAUAAAACCUUCAUAAACAUCUUAUUUCCCAUUCAUUAUGAAGUGUGGGGUAGGAGAUCAGAGAAACCAGAUGAGGAUUGCUGGCUGUGCUGCUAAUGUGAACUCUUCUUUCAAAAGUAUUGUGUCCUUUUAUUCUCAAUGGAGACAUCAGAAAGUAUUAAGAGGAGUACUAUUAUAAUACUAAUAGGAUACUGAAAAUCUAUACUGAUUGCAGCCAGAGGCUCCAAAAUAAACAAUACUAUGAUGAGUUCCACAAAAAAACCUCAACUACUCUUUGUUCCAGGGAAGCACCAUUUUCCACAAAACUCUCAAGAAGGACUUGUUGCAACUGGAAAAGCAAUUAAAUGUGAAUCGUGAUCCAGGAGAAAGUAACAACUCACAUAACUCCCAAAUUAAAAGUUUUCCAAAGAUAUAUCAUUUUUUUUCUCUUGGCCUUUUAAGAAACUAGCCAACAAAUACUCUUGACAGGUUUGUGUUUGGUUUUGAAAACACACACCUUAGUGUACUGAAAGAAAAACAAUUUCUUUUAAUUUGGUUUGUUGGUCCCACACCCCAUCUAUCAAUGUAUGUGCUAUUUACAAAUAAGUUCUAUACAGUAUUUUUGCAGUACCUUUGAUAAUUCCUAGACCUCUAUUUUCAUUCUGUGUAUUAAUGUGAAUAACAGAUGGAUAUUUUAAUAUUUAAGGCAGAUGGUAAACUUUCCUAUAGGUCUUGUGAGACUUCGUCUUAUAGGCUGAACACCAUUCACAAAAUGUAAUAAUGCUUCAUUCCUUCAGGUUGAGGUAAAGAACUUGAGCAACUGGAUUAGCAAAGCUGCAAAGAAUGAAAUGUGGCCUAAGAUGUAAUUAUGUUCUCUGCCCUUCCUUUGGGCCAGGGUAGUUUUGCACUUGACACAAUGGAAAAUAGGCCAUAAAGCCUGAAAAUAAAAUGUUCUAAACCCCAAUCUCACAGCACUUUAGUAGGCUUUUCACUAGGCAUCUUUAAAGUAUUUUCAACAAAAUACUAAUUAAGCUACCACUUCAAAAGAGCUUCAAGGAAAAGCUCUGCUUUCUUAUAAAAUCUUUUUGAGACAGAGUUUCGCUCUUGUCGCACAGGCUGGAGUGCAAUGGCGUGAUCUCGACUCACCGCAACCUCCGCCUGCUGGGUUCAAGUGAUUCUCUAGCCUCAGCCUCCUGAGUAGUUGGGAUUACAGGCGCCCGCCACCACACCUGGCUAAUUUUUGUAUUUCUAGUAGAGACAGGGUUUCACCAUGUUGGCCAGGCUGGUCUCCGGACCUCAGGUGAUCUGCACACUUCGGCUUCCUAAACUGCUGGAAUUACAGUCGUGAGCCACUGUGCCUGGUCUCAUAAAACUUUUAAAUUCCAUCACAUUACAUUCACACCUUUUGCUAACCAGGAUGAAGAGCCUUAAACAGGUUUAAAGAGUGCAGACUGCAGUUUUGUUAAUACUUUUUUCCUCUCCAAGUUCUUUUAUGCUAACAUUUCCAGUGGUGGGAAGUACAAGUACUAUUAGUCAUCUUCAUUCUUUGCAUUGCCAAAGAGUUCCUCUUUCUCCGUCUUGUUCUGAAGGAUGAACAAAAGCUUGAGGUGUACGUAUCAGAACGUAAACUGCAGCACGAAGACCACCAACGUUCACCCAGACUGUAUCCACCUUUCGCCAUACGUGUCGCAUUCCAGAUAACGCCUGUGUACACACAAAAAAAAUAACAAUUAGGUUGACAAUCUACUUUUACAUCAACUAGGAUUCUUAACUGCCAAGAUAGGAAACCUCAGGGGAAGAGAAAACAAAUCUUAUCCAAACAAACAUCCCCAAAUCUCAAAAAGAUCCCAAAGUUGCCACAGGCUGCGAUUUUGAGCUAAUGUGUAUAGCACCUUGGUAAAGCAUUUUGUGUCUUGAGUAAGUAGUACAGCUCGGCCUGUGGUAGGUGUGCAGACACGGCUCAUCUCCCGUAGGCAAGCUGGAUAAAGGUUCCAGUUUCUCUUCUUGGAUCCCAUCCUAUAAUAGAAGGUCUCAUGAGUCAAACACUUGCAAAAGAUACAAAAUAGAAGGACUAUAUGAAACAAAAACAGUUUCAUGCAUCCUGAGGCAUGAAAAAUAGCUGUAGUUUUAGAAACCAGACCUUUGCCAUUACAUGUCUAUGAAAUAAGUUGAGUUAGUAAACUGCUUAGAAUUCUGAAUCAAAAAAAUUUUUUUUAGACAACUGUGUUAGUUAUAUGACUUGUCCUCUUAGUAUAAUAAGCAGUCAAACUGUAUAAACCAAACAAGUGAUUAGAAAUCAUUUAGGCCAGGUGUUUUGGUGGCUCAUGCCUGUAAUCCCAGCAGUUUGGGAGGCUGAGGCGGGCAGAUCACCUGAAGUCAGGAGUUUGAGACCAGCCUGGCCAAUAUGGUGAAACCCUGUCUUUUAAAAAUACAAAAAUAAGCUGGGCAUGAUGGCAUGUGCCUGAAAUCCGAGCUACUCAGGAGGGUGAGGCAGGAGAAUCGCUUGAACCCGGGAGGCAGAGGUUACAGUGAGCCGAGAUCAUACCACUGCACUCCAGCCUGGGCAACAGAGCAGGGCUCUGUCUCCAAAAAAAAAAAAAGAAUCAUUUAUGCUGAGAAACAGAAUGAGAACCAAGUCUUCUACCACCUUUUUGUGUAGGAUAUAUAAUUCAAGAAUGGGCUAGAAAGUGAAUUACAGGUAAUUUAAAAAUGAACCUCCCAUGAUGGUCAGGAUUCCAAAUGUAGUUAAUACAUUCCUGAGUUCUCGGAAGAAACAUAAUGGGUGAAUCCAUCAUGUUGUUAAGUGAAAAACAGCUCUGCUAAGUCUGCUAAAAUUCAAGAUUUUUUUCCUGACUUAGAAUAAACGCAAGGAAAAUAAUGACAUAUUUAGAAGACAAGCAGGUACUAGUAUUUCUCACCUUUUUCCAAAUGGCAAAUCUGUUACAAUAAUAUCCACAGAGCCAGUUCUCAAUGGCAGAUUGCAGAUAUCCCACUGAACAGCAUCUAUGGGCAAGCCCCAGGAGGGUUUGCUGUGGGGACAAAGGAAAGGUGCUUCAACAUACUGUGAAGCAUAAAGUUAUUACAACAAUUUUUGUUUCUGAAGAGAGACUGCUACAGCAAAACAUAAACUGCUAAGGAUAUCAGUGAUAAUAUCAACCUAUUCAAAAUUUAAGAAAUGGCACAAAGGUAAAAAAUAGGUCAGGCUGGGCAUGGUAGCUUGUGCCUAUAAUCAGCACUUUCAGGGGCUGAGGUGGGAGGAUCACUGGACUCCAGGAAUUUGAGACCAGCUGAGCAACACUGUGAGACCUUGUCUCUAAAAUACUUUUUUAAGAAGUUAGCAGGGCAUGAUGGCACACACCUAUAGUCCCAGCUACUCAGGAGGCUGAGGUGGGAGGAUCACUUGAGUCCAGGAGUUGAAAGAUGCAGUGAGCUAGGAUUGUGCCGCUUUACUCCAGCCUGGGUGACAGAGCAAGACCCCCGUCUCAGAAAAAAGGGAAACAAACUGAAAACAUGAUUGUAAUGCAGAGAACUGCAAAAGACAACUUUAAAAACAAUGCUGAAGCAGUAAAUUACAUAACCGAUGAUACAAAAAUUUAAGUUGCUGAUAAAACAUACACUGGAG
rnacentral:lncRNA from 1 species